rnacentral:rRNA from 1 species
GACGUAGGGCGCGAGCGUUGUCCGGAUUUAUUGGGCGUAAAGAGCUCGUAGGCGGCUUGUCGCGUCGACUGUGAAAGCCCGCGGCUUAACUGCGGGACUGCAGUCGAUACGGGCAGGCUAGAGUCCGGCAGGGGAGACUGGAAUUCCUGGUGUAGCGGUGAAAUGCGCAGAUAUCAGGAGGAACACCAGUGGCGAAGGCGGCUCACUGGACCGGAACUGACGCUGAGGCGCGAAAGCGUGGGGAGCAAACAGG